CCUGCAGCACCAUAGAGACCAAAUGAGCAGGGAUUAUGACAAAGAUUCUGUUAGUUAAUGGAGUUCGUAAUACCAACCUGAAUCUGAUGAACAACACUCAAACAUAUCAAAACACUGAAACACAUAAAAACAUUUCUAUUUUCAUAAUAAAUAAUCUUUAUUUUGUGCAGAAAAACUUAGGUGCUAAAGGAAGGAGACUAGGUUGGAUGUGAGAAAAAGUAAAUACUGUAGUACAUAGAGUUAGAGUUUAAAUUUUUAAAAAGAAAAGGAAAUUACUAUAGUAUGGGAAGUAACGCAUCCUUCUUGUUAAAUUCCAAGUUAUGAAUUAGUGGGAAUCUAAAAGCAAAAACAUUUUAAUCAAAACAGCAAGUAAGUUGUUUGAACAUACAUACCUCCUAGAUAAAAAAAACACACACAAACAGACUAGGAGGGAUUUAACCAUGAACUACAUAGUUCUUCAGUAAAGCCUCAUGCUAGAAAUCCUUUAAAUUUCUCCCCAUUGGUUCUGGAAGUAGAGUUACUUCAAUGUAGGUAACUAUUUUACAAAGCUCUUUUUCCCAAAAGCCCGUCUGGUUUCCAGACUAUUGUAUUUUCCUAUGGAAAAUCCCUAUAUUAUGGAAAUUUUACUUGUUCCUGAAACUUCGUAAAAUUAAGAUUUACCCAAAUAAUUUUCCCUAAAAAAAUCUUCCACUGGCUCUUCAUAUGUCCAGUCUCUAUUAGAUGCAAAACAUUUGCAAAUUAAUUAAUGACUCCAGUCAGAGACAGACAUGUAGUUGUGUUGGCCCACUGUCCUUCUGAAAUCUUGCAAUUUUACCUCUGAAAUCAACAUGUGAUUUAUUUCCCUGGAAAGAAAUCCCAUAAAAUUUCUAGAAACAGGAGUGGAAAGUCCUUCAACAUAUACUGAGUCUCAAACUUUAGCUGCUUAAGAAACAAUCCCUGACUUUCUUUGAAUGCAAUUAUCUUAAUAUACUGUAGUUGGUGCAGUAAUGCUGUGGUUCUUAUUAAUACUAUACAAUUAUUCCUUUUGCAUCAGGUGAAGGGUUACUGCCUAAUAUCCUAUACUAUACAGCAGCACAAAAGUUCCAGCUUCUCAGUCAGCAUACUAAAUACAAUCAUAUGGAUGUUCUGUAGAUAUUCAUUUUACAUCCAUAUUUAUAUGGAACAUAUCACAACAGAUGCAAAAGAGAACAGAUAAAUAUGUAUAAAGAUGGAUAAUUACAGGAUAAUUACAGGAUGGAUAGUCUCGGCUUGACAAAGCCCUGGCCGGAUUGAUUUAGUUGGAAUUAGUCCUGCCUAGAGCAGGGGGCUGGACUUGAUGACCUUCUGAGGUCUCUUCCAGUUCUAUGAUUCUAUGACAGGAAAUUCAUGCUUAUGAGAAGAUAAAUGGCACCAAAUGCAGAAGUAUAUAUAUGCUGAAAGAGAAAUGGAUUUCUCCACAAUCAGCAAAAAAACCCGAGCUCUCCCCAGGUUGUUGACUGAUCCUUUAAAGGAACAACUCUAUACUGGCAUAAGAGAGAUUAUUUGGACAGUAAUUGUCUUUUACCGUUCCAGAUACUCGUGCUUGAAUGGAAGUUGGUAUUCUUAAAGUCCAGCUUCUCAUUUUACUUAACUUUGCAGUGAAGUAGUUAUCCUGUUGUGACUUCAUAUUCAGUUUCUGUAAAAAUGCAUGCGAUGUCAUAAUGUACAUUGCUAUAUCCAGGAAGGAGGAUGCCAGCUAACUACAAACAACUGCAGCAGCACCAGAGAAGAUGUGAGAACUAGCUGAUUGUGAGAAGGAGACUGGCUACUGUCCAUCUCAGCGAGUAGACAAUGCUCCACCCCUCACCCCCACUGUUCUCCUAUCCAUCAAGAUCAAGAACUGGUGUAUACCUACUGACAACAGCAAGUAUCUUGAUGGAUAGGGGAACAGUGGGGGCGAGAGGUGGAGCCAUGGCUGAGGAGGAGCCAUUCCUAUGAUUCACCCACCCCUGCUCCACCCCUUCAAAGCUGAGAGGAAACAACUUAGGGUGCUGCUAGUCAGGGACUCUCUGCUGAGGAAAACAGAGACACCCAUUUGCUGAUCUGACAUGAUCUCAUGAGGGGCUACGCUGCCUGCCUGGAGUGUGUGCCUGAGACAUUAUGGAAAAGAUGCUGAUGCUCAUCCAUCCAUCUGAUCAUGAUCCUUUGAAUGCUCAUCCACGUGGCCACUAAUAAUACAGCCAGCUCUGACCCCGAGUUGAAUAGCAGUGGAUCUACAGUACUCUGGGAGCAAGGGUGCAGUGCGGAGGAAAUGGACGGACGUGUCGGAUCGUGGUGGUUUGAGGAACACCAGGAGGAGUAUCUGCACCACUUGUGAAGGUGAACAGAGCUCUAUACAGAGAAGCUGAAAGGAGAACAGCUGACAGGCGGGAGGCUGGAACUUGAAUCCAAAGUUCUGCAUAUAUCAGUAAAAAGUAGACAACAUCAGAAACUCCUAAGAAGGGUAAAGGAAUUCUGUGCCAGUCCUGCUUUAGGUGAGAUCAGCUAUUGCAAGAAAAACAG